GAAGUAGCAAUCAAACGAGCAGAAACAUCAAGCACUAGUUCCUACGCAAUAGGAACCAGGCGUCAAGAAGACAAAGACAAUGCAUUCAUUAACGAACUCGAAUCCUUAUCCCGUCUUCAUCACAAGAAUCUCAUCCGAUUACUAGGCUUCUGCGAAGAUUGUAACGAAAGGGUAUUAGUCUACGAGUACCUAAGCAAUGGCACCCUCCAUGAUCAUCUCCACAAGCUCCAAAGCUCACCAUUAAUGUCAUGGACUGCAAGAAUCAAAGUAGCACUAGACGCAGCCAGGGGAAUCGAGUACCUGCACGAGUACGCAGUACCACCAGUCAUUCACCGAGACAUAAAAUCAUCUAACAUACUUCUGGACUCAUCCUGGAACGCCAAGGUCUCAGAUUUCGGACUAUCGCUGAUGGGUCCUGAUGACGAAGAAUCCCACCUGUCCCUUCGAGCAGCA
rnacentral:misc_RNA from 1 species